ensembl:lncRNA
GUGCUUACCUGGCUGCAGUCGGAGUCGUGCCGUUUCAAGGUAUUUGUGGGCACCCGUGUAGCUGAAAUUCAGGAGCUCACGGAACCCAGUGCCUGGCGGUAUGUGGACUCCUCACUGAAUCCAGCCGAUGAUGUCACGCGGGGUAAGACUCUUGGGGAGCUCGCCGUGCCUAAUCACUGGAGUCAAGGGCCCCCUUUCCUCCUCAAGGGACCCCACGAAUGGCCAUCUCAAUUACCUAGGCUGCCUGAUUCAGAUUUGUCAGAGUACAGGAAGUCAGUUUCCUGUGGUAUUGUGACUAACGGUGACUGGCCAUGUUCUCUACAGGGUGGCCAACACACUUGGAAGGAUCUGGUUGAGGCUACGGUGCGUGAGCUUCACGGGGCGGCAGGACUGGGUAGUGAGGUUACUGCUUCAGACUAUCAUCAAGCAGAAAUGAUCAUCUACAAGAGAAUCCAGCAGGACUGCUUCCCAGAAGAACUGCUCCACCUCAAGAAGGGCAAGUCAGUACCAAAUAGUAGUCGACUACUUACCUUGUCCCCAGAGUUAGACCCUGAGGAUGCGAUCAUACGUGUUGGUGGUAGAUUGCGGCGGGCUGAAGCUCUCGAUUCUGCUUUUAAACACCCGAUCGUCUUGGAUCCCAGUCAUCCAGCCACCAAGCUCCUUAUACAGGACUAUGACACUCGUCUCUGUCACCCUGGACCUGAACGGGUUUACGCAGAAAUGCGUCGCACUUUCUGGAUACUGCGCGGGAGAGAGGCAAUUCGUCAUAUACAACAUCUCUGUAAGGAGUGUAGGAGAUGGAAGGCCAAGCCAUCGGUGCCCAAGAUGUCAGACUUACCAGUGGCCCGUCUGCGUUUAUAUAAGCCAGCCUUCUAUUCCACGGGUGUGGACUGUUUUGGGCCUUUCCAGGUGAAGUUGGGACGCCGCUCUGAGAAGAGAUGGGGCAUUAUUUACAAAUGUCUCACCACACGAGCGGUGCACCUGGACCUCUUACACAGCUUGGAUUCAGACUCGUUUCUAAUGAGCCUCAGGAGAUUCAUUGCCCGUAGAGGUACGCCAGCUGAACUCUACUCGGAUCAGGGCACAAAUUUCAAGGCAGGAGAGAAAGAGCUUCGUGAGACAUUUGAUGGUCUAUCCUCAGAGCUUCAGCAACUUCUAGCGAAGCAGAAGAUUACUUUCCACCUCAACCCCCCAGCAGCACCCCAUUUUGGUGGGGCAUGGGAGCGAGAGAUAAGAUCAGUCAAAUCUGCUUUGUAUACAGUUAUAGGAGCUCAGCCAGUCUUUGAAGAAGUACUCCGUACCGUCUUGUUGGAAGUCGAGGCGAUACUGAACACAAAGCCACUGGGAUAUACCUCAGCCAAUAUAGCAGAUCUGGAUGCAAUCACUCCGAACAUCCUCUUGAUGGGGCGGCUAGAUGGUGCUUUGCCCCAGGUGGUAUACAACAAGAGUGAAGGCUUGAGUAGGAGAAGAUGGAGGCACUGUCAGGUCUUGGCAGACCACUUCUGGUCUAGGUUUAUCAGGUACUACUUACCCACCCUGCAGCCUCGACAGAAGUGGCAUACCACCAAUGUGGAUCUUGCAGUCAACUCUGUUGUUCUGAUGAUGGACCCACAGCUUCCCAGGGCUCUUUGGCCAGUCGGCAGAGUGACUAAGGUACAUCAGAGUGUUGAUGGUUGUGUAAGGUCAGCCGAUGUCCGGAUCAAGGACAAAGUCUACACCAGACCAGUUGCCCGUCUCAUUGCCCUUCCAGCUAUCCCAGAUUCAUAAUGGAUUCCAUCGUAGUGCCUAUGGAAGCGGCUGAGCAGUGAGCCUUUCUCAGGAGCAAAUUGCAUGCAAUUUGGGGGCGGCUGUGUGAAAGUCUCACUAAUGACACUGAUUUACGACGUGGAUGGAUAAGAGCGCUCUCGUCCCGGUUGCGGGGACUCUUAUUUUGACGGAACGCAGCUCAUACGGUGGGGUGCUUCAGAGUGCGCGCGCGCCGCGAUCCAGUCUUGCAUCAGCCGUCAUCUUCAGAGAGAACGAGCUGUGAAAUUCCCUGACUAAAUUCAGUUUGAUCUUCGUUAUGUUCCUAUGAGUGUUUAAAGUUGUGUGCGUCCAGAGAGAAAACCACACACUCAUAUGCUGACACUCCUCAGGACAUACAGCAAAGACGAUACCACUUAGUACCCAUAUACAUGCUCAUCUUCGAUCUGUGCACAGAGAGCACUGUUUAAUACAGCUCAUUAGGAUCUGGCUCCCCCUCUUCAUAUGCUUGUAUAAAUAAAUCUGUUAAACUGGAUUCCUUCUCCGACUUUGGUGUUCUUACCGACACACCCGGACCAGCUUCACAUCAUUAGCAACAGCUAGUCCCUUACAGUCCUUAGCCCCU